AGCAGUAGCCGCGGGAAUACAGAGGGUGCGAGCGUUAAUCGGAUUUACUGGGCGUAAAGCGUGCGUAGGCGGCUUCUUAAGUCGGAUGUGAAAUCCCUGAGCUUAACUUAGGAAUUGCAUUCGAUACUGGGAAGCUAGAGUAUGGGAGAGGAUGGUAGAAUUCCAGGUGUAGCGGUGAAAUGCGUAGAGAUCUGGAGGAAUACCGAUGGCGAAGGCAGCCAUCUGGCCUAAUACUGACGCUGAGGUACGAAAGCAUGGGGAGCAAACAGGAUUAGAGACCCGCGUAGUCCCUGUCUCUUAUAC
rnacentral:rRNA from 1 species